UUAAAUUGAAGAGUUUGAUCAUGGCUCAGAUUGAACGCUGGCGGCAGGCCUAACACAUGCAAGUCGAACGGUAACAGGAAGCAGCUUGCUGCUUUGCUGACGAGUGGCGGACGGGUGAGUAAUGUCUGGGAAACUGCCYGAUGGAGGGGGAUAACUACUGGAAACGGUAGCUAAUACCGCAUAACGUCGCAAGAMCAAAGAGGGGGACCUUAGGGCCUCUUGCCAUCGGAUGUGCCCAGAUGGGAUUAGCUAGUAGGUGGGGUAACGGCUCACCUAGGCGACGAUCCCUAGCUGGUCUGAGAGGAUGACCAGCCACACUGGAACUGAGACACGGUCCAGACUCCUACGGGAGGCAGCAGUG
rnacentral:rRNA from 1 species